rnacentral:rRNA from 1 species
GAGUUUGAUCGUGGCUCAGAUUGAACGCUGGCGGCAUGCCUUACACAUGCAAGUCGAACGGCAGCACGGGAGCUCGCUCCUGGUGGCGAGUGGCGAACGGGUGAGUAAUGCAUCGGAACGUAUCCUGGAGUGGGGGAUAACGUAGCGAAAGUUACGCUAAUACCGCAUAUUCUGUGAGCAGGAAAGCGGGGGACCUUCGGGCCUCGCGCUCUUGGAGCGGCCGAUGUCGGAUUAGCUAGUUGGUGAGGUAAGGCUCACCAAGGCGACGAUCCGUAGCAGGUCUGAGAGGAUGAUCUGCCACACUGGAACUGAGACACGGUCCAGACUCCUACGGGAGGCAGCAGUGGGGAAUUUUGGACAAUGGGGGCAACCCUGAUCCAGCCAUGCCGCGUGAGUGAAGAAGGCCU